CAAAUGACUCUCGGCAACGGAUAUCUCGGCUCACGCAUCGAUGAAGAACGUAGCAAAAUGCGAUACUUGGUGUGAAUUGCAGAAUCCCGUGAACCAUCGAGUUUUUGAACGCAAGUUGCGCCCGAAGCCUUUUGGUCGAGGGCACGUCUGCCUGGGCGUC
rnacentral:rRNA from 1 species